CAGGCUCCGAGGGGCAGUGAGCAGCGCCCUCAGCUUGCUUUUUAGGAGGGCAGAUCGAUCAGAGGAGUCCCAGGGGCCCCGCCCGAGGGCACCUCCAUCUCUCUGGGCUGGGCUGACUUCCCCGGUCCAGGGAGCCCCCGCUUCUUCAUUCGGCUCACUGAGCACUUGUGGGGGCACGACCUCAUCUUCUAAAGGCAUCUUUUCUUCCAAAUGGUCCAGCAAAUUCUUUAGAAAAGGAAAAUACAGGGAAAGGGAUAAACCUCACUGACUUGGAGGAAAUCAAGAGGAGUGAGCACAGCAUCAGAAAGCCCCCUGGCCCCAGACUGCACCCGCUUUCCUGGCCCUACCUUGAAAUCCAUCAGGUCUGCGUUGGACACGGCAUUGUACAUGGGAUUAGCUCUGGUCUGACCUAGGAGCUGGAAUGCCAGUAAAAGGAGGAAGCUCACGGUGGUGGUGGAGAAGGAGCUCAUGCUGGCGUCGUCAAGGAGCAAUCCACUGCUUGCUGCUCUGUCUCUCCCCUCUGGUUCCUCUCUGGUUCCCCUCUCUUGGCCUACGUCUGUCCCUGUCUCCCAGCUGCCCAGUGCCGCCUCUUUUUAUAGCCCCCCAGCUCUCCAAGCACGCAGGAGAGACAGAACCCUCCCCAUUCUGUCACUUGCAGUGAUAAAGCUG
rnacentral:lncRNA from 1 species